rnacentral:rRNA from 1 species
CCUACGGGAGGCAGCAGUGAGGAAUAUUGGUCAAUGGGCUCACGCCUGAACCAGCCAAGUCGCGUGAGGGAAGACUGCCCUAUGGGUUGUAAACCUCUUUUGUCAGGGAGCAACGCCGGCUACGUGUAGCCGGACUGAGAGUACCUGCAGAAAAAGCAUCGGCUAACUCCGUGCCAGCAGCCGCGGUAAUACGGAGGAUGCGAGCGUUAUCCGGAUUUAUUGGGUUUAAAGGGUGCGUAGGCGGCAUGUCAAGUCAGCGGUAAAACCGCGGGGCUCAACCCCGCAUCGCCGUUGAAACUGGCGGUCUUGAGUGGGCGAGAGGUAGGCGGAAUGCGUGGUGUAGCGGUGAAAUGCAUAGAUAUCACGCAGAACGCCGAUUGCGAAGGCAGCAUACCGGCGCCCAACUGACGCUGAGGCACGAAAGCGUGGGGAUCGAACAGGAUUAGAUACCCUAGUAGUC